rnacentral:ncRNA from 1 species
GUGAUGGGGAUAGAUCAUUGCAAUUGUUGGUCUUCAACGAGGAAUUCCUAGUAAGCGCGAGUCAUCAGCUCGUGCUGACUACGUCCCUGCCCUUUGUACACACCGCCCGUCACUCCUACUGAUUGAAUGGUCCGGUGAAGUGUUCGGACUGCGGCGACGUGGGCGGUUCGCUGCCCGCGACGUCGCGAGAAGUCCACUGAACCUUAUCAUUUAGAGGAAGGAG